UCUUGCCUCAGUCUCCCAAGUAGCUGGACAGGUGUGCGCCACCAUGCCUGACUAAUUUUUGUAUUUUUAGUAGAGAUGGGGUUUCACCACAUUGGCUAGGUUGGUCUCAAACUCCUGACCUCAGGUGAUCCGCCUGCCUCGGUCUCCCAAAGUGCUGGUAUUACACAUGUGAGGCAUUGUGCCCGGCCUGAGAACUACAACUUUAGACUUACUGUUGUGAAAAUCUCAAACUAGGCUCUAUUGCAAACAUGUGUUUGCAUCAUAUAGGCAUGCAUAGACAUGCUGACGGGGUUUAUGUUACAGCCAAAAAGCUAAUGCCAACACCAACCGCUGGCACUUCUAUAUUUACUUCCAGGAGCCCUUGCCUUUACCACCCAUACCCCGCUACCCAUGUACCUCCCACUCCCCCAGAUUGAGGAGGGAGCUAGCUAAUAGGCAACUGAAGCACUGGAUUGGAACUGCAACUCAAGGUUGUGGGAGCAAGAGUUCUGAAGUGAAGACCUUGAUCAGCACAAACCUGAUCAUGUGACCUUGUGAAAGUUACUUCACAAUUCCCUGCUUCGGUUACUUUGGUUAUAAAAUUAAACUAAUGGAAUGGAUCUAUUUGCUAAAAAUAUGAGAUUUAAUGAGCAAAUAAUUUUAAAGUGCUCCAUUAAUUCUGCGAUUGUUAAAUAACUUCACUGCAUAAAAUUCUAUAGAACUCUUUCAAAUAUAUAAAAAAAGCACCCCAAUGAUUCUUUUUUUUUUUGGAAACAGGGUCUCACUCUGUUGCCCAGGCUGGAGUGCAGUGCCAUGAUCACAGCUCACUUCAACCUCAGCCUCCCAGGUAGCUGGGACUGCAGGCCUGUACCACCAUUAUUAUUAUUAUUAUUAUUAUUAUUAUUAUUUUGUAUUUUCUGCAGAAAUGGGGUUUGGUCAUGUUACCCAGGCUGGUCUCAAGCUCCUGGGAUCAAGUGAUCUGUCCGCCUUGGCCUCCCAAAGUGCUGGGAUUACAGCGGGGAGCCACUGCGCCCAGCCCAGCCAGCACGAUUCUGACCCAGAGGGUUUAGAAGUUGCUUAGACAGAUCUGCUCCUGCGAGUCAAGUGAAGCAGUGGGAGACGGAGGACAAAAAGAAUUUUGACUAAGGCAAUAAAUAUAUUAUACAAGUGAAGUAUUUCCCAAAUUGUAUUCUGUGAAAUGCUGUGUUCUCAAAUGUUAACAAGUUCCAUACAAGAACCAUUUAUUUCUAAAUUCUAAAGUCACAUUCAUAUUAUGAAUUAUAUUAAACAUAUAUAGUUACUUUUAUUAUACCUAAUAAUCUGUCUUUAUAAAAGUGUUUACCCAAAAAUGCCAGCAGAUUCCAUGAGAAACUACCUGUACUACAAUGAUCGUCAAACUUUGGUGCAUACAUGACAGAAUCAACUGGAGGGCUUGUUAAAGGAUUGCUGAGUCAAACCCCUAGUUUCAGCAGGUUUGUGGUGGGGCCUGAGAAUUUACAUUUCUUUUUUUUUUUUUUAGACGGAGUCUCGCUCUGUUGCCCAGACUGGAGUGCAGUGGCGCGAUCUUGGCUCACUGCAACCUCCGCCUCCUGGGUUCAAGCGAUUCUUCUGCCUCAGCCUCCUGAGUAGCUGGGACUACAGGUGCCCGCCACCAUGCUCAGCUAAUUUUUGGAUUUUUAGUAGAGACGGGGUUUUACCAUAUUGGCCAGGCUGGUCUCGAACUCCUGACCUUGUGACCCACCCACCUCGGCCUCCCAAAUUGCUGGGAUUACAGGCAAGAGCCACCGCGCCCUGCCGAGAAUUUGCAUUUCUAACAAGUUCCCAGGUGAUGCUGACACUGCUGGCUCAUGGAACCACUGCUGUAGUAUUUUCCAAAUUAUCCUGAUUCUAAGAACCACCUAUGACCUGUGCUGUUUUUUCUGUGGUUACUGGCUCAUGUCACAUAAAUUCUUUUAAGAUUCAAACAUGUUUGUGAUAUUACUCAGUAUUUACAUCUUGCUUUUACUGCAGCAUGACAGAAAAAUUAACCACAGGUAUAUCAUAACAAAAAGACCAUGAGUUACCAUUUUCACAAAGUUCAGAUAUAUUUAAAUUAGCCUAUUUAAUCUUUUUUUGGUUGUUGUUGAGAUGGAGUCUCACUCUGUCUCUCAGGCUGGAGUACAGUGGCACGAUCUCAGCUCACUGCAACCUCUGCCUCCCAGGUUCAAGUGAUUCUCCUGCCUCAGCCUCCCGAAUAGCGGGGAUUACAGGUGCCCACCACCACACAUGGCUAAUUUUGGUAUUUUUAGUAGAGAUGGGGUUUUGCCAUGUUAGCCAGGCUGGUCUUGAACUCCUGACCUCAGGUGAUCCGCCUGCCUCGGCCUCUCAAAGUGCUGGGAUUACAGGCAUGAGCCAUCGUGCCCAGCCUAUGGUACACCUUUACUGAGGAAACAAUUCAGGAACAUCACUCUUAGUAAGGCAAUUGUUGAUUAUAAGUCAAAAAAACACUAUCAUGUACAAAUUCAGGGGAUUUUGCAUACCUUGUUUUUUUGGUUACAAAUAUGCAAAAUUAAAGAUGUUUGCUAAUACUUGUUUCCAAUUUUUAAACUUUUCAAGUGUUGCACUGUUAAUAAUGUUAAAAUAAAAGGCAUUUGACUUAGUAUGAUUGUUUCUUGAACUUCAUCUUUUCAGGUUAUUUUGUUGCUGGCCACU
rnacentral:lncRNA from 1 species